UGAAGUUGACUUGAGUCCCUCCCUCCAGAGAGAAAGCCGAGGCUGGAUCUAACCCUAAUCACCAACAGUCAAGAACAUUUCCCCUUCCCUCCCUUCCCCUGCUCUCUCUCAUGCUUUUUCCUCCUUAUCUCUAUCACAGACCAUCUGCAGCACAGCAUCACUCUACCAGGAUAAGCUGACUAUUCUUCUCAUUGGACCUCAAGGAGAGAUCCUUUAAUUUCCUAGCAUUUACUGACUUGUAACUUUUCACUCCAUAGCUGCCAGUUGUGUGCUGGGCAGACUCAUCAGUGCAGGCAGCACGCAGUCACUCAGGAGGUCACAAUGAACAGCAACCUAGCUGACAAAGAGAGCUGUCCUGAUGACAUCAGCCUUCCAGAGGAGGAGGUGAGGACGCUGUUUGUUAGUGGAUUACCUUUAGAUAUUAAACCCCGGGAGCUGUACUUACUAUUCAGACCAUUCAAGGGUUAUGAAGGUUCAUUAAUAAAGCUCACAUCAAAGCAGCCUGUUGGAUUUGUAAGUUUUGAUAGUCGAUCAGAAGCAGAAGCUGCCAAGAAUGCAUUAAAUGGAAUACGCUUUGAUCCAGAAAUUCCUCAGACGUUACGGCUCGAGUUUGCAAAAGCAAAUACAAAGAUGGCCAAGAGCAAACUUGUGGGAACCCCAAAUCCCAGCACACCUCAGCUGAACAAUGUACCUCAGUUUAUCUCCAGGGAUCAGUGUGCGUUGGCUGCCUCCCUCAGAUGUUACUUCUCAGGGCUGGAAGUCCCGCCAAUUCUGCUGAGUAAUGUGUACCAGGUGUGUGAUGGUGGCUACAGUCUGUCUUGUGGAUACUGAUGUGUUCUUCCUUGUUGGCCACUGGAGUCUCAGGAUGUUCAUGAAAACAACAGUGUGCUGGCUUACAGACAUCCCAUCGUCAAUACAUCAAGAUUCCUUCAAGACUAUGACCCAGCCCCUAUCACACAUCUGCCUUACCCAACAGACAAUAAAUGCAUGAAUGAAUAUACCUUAUCCCUUGUACACUGUAAUGAACUACAAGUGCCUUAUGUGAAAGCUUGGCUUGCCAUGCAUUGCUGUCUAGUGAUUUUGUCCAGUCCAAAGAAAACCAGAGCAGCCAUGGCAUCAAGCGGUCUCCGUCCCAAGCAAAAGUACACUGUGUUUAAAGAUACUAGUUUUAUCCACAACUUUUUCAGUGUGUCUAACUAAAAGAAAAGAAUAUUUUUGGAAACAUUAAGCUGCAUGCGUAAUACACUUGUGGAGAUCUUUUUCCAAAGAGAAAAAAAAAUGUAAGAACUGUAUUUUAAGAUAGAGGGAUUUUGUUCAUACUAUUUUUGUUAAAGUUAGCUGUAUAUAUUUACUACACUAGAUCUGCUUUUCCAGUAUUAUCUAGUCUUAUGUCAUUUCAGAGCUAGCGGGAUUUGGAUUAAUCAGUUUAGAAGAACGAUUUCUAUUUUAAUAUGCUAAACUAUAAAAAAAAAAGGUUUUAUUUAAUGUAGAGAAGAUUCUCUGUAAAGUAAAUCUAUUGUAUGUGAAUUUAUAUUGUAUUAUAGUAUGUUGGUGCCCUGUGCAGUUAACUAAUUUUCUUGCCUUCUAUAUGGCCAUGUGUAGCAGGUGUUUCUGUGUGUAGCCUUAUACAUGUAUCCUAAAACACUCCAGACAAAACAUCAGUUUUAGUAGUAUAUGCUUUAUGACUGGUCAUUUACUUGUCCAUCUUUGUUUCUGAAUGUACUGUUUUUAAGAAGACAUUGCCCUUUUAAGACCUGUAGCAGCAACAAAAGUCUGUGACACCAUUUUGCUUGUGGUACUGUAUUUGUGACUACAGUUUAGUGUAAUGCUCAAGUGGUCUUUCACAUCCACGCCUACUGUAAAUGUGCAAAUACCACCAAAACAGUAUUUUUUUAAAUUGACUAUGUAAGGGUUAGAACCAAGUCUAGAUGAACAAUUAGGCAAAAUAAGCAUGUGUUUAAGGCACAAAGGGAAGGAGGCACCAUAGAGCUUUUCCUCUAGAUAUCAUGCCCUUAAAGUGGUUGUAAACCACUGAAAUAAAAACAAAAACAAAG